GAUGAACGCUGGCGGCGUGCCUAAUACAUGCAAGUCGAGCGAACGGACGAGAAGCUUGCUUCUCUGAUGUUAGCGGCGGACGGGUGAGUAACACGCGGAUAACCUACCUAUAAGACUGGGAUAACUUCGGGAAACCGUAGCUAAUACCGGAUAAUAUUUUGAACCGCAUGGUUCAAAAGUGAAAGACGGUCUUGCUGUCACUUAUAGAUGGAUCCGCGCUGCAUUAGCUAGUUGGUAAGGUAACGGCUUACCAAGGCAACGAUGCAUAGCCGACCUGAGAGGGUGAUCGGCCACACUGGAACUGAGACACGGUCCAGACUCCUACGGGAGGCAGCAGUAGGGAAUCUUCCGCAAUGGGCGAAAGCCUGACGGAGCAACGCCGCGUGAGUGAUGAAGGUCUUCGGAUCGUAAAACUCUGUUAUUAGGGAAGAACAUAUGUGUAAGUAACUGUGCACAUCUUGACGGUACCUAAUCAGAAAGCCACGGCUAACUACGU
rnacentral:rRNA from 1 species